ACUUUCUCGUUCUUCUCUUUCCUUCUUCUUCUUCUUCUCCUCUGUUCGUCUUUUGUCGAGAAUUUGAGAAUCAAAGUUGAGGUUCUUGAGAUCGGAUCAAGAGUAGAAAGAUCAGGGAAGGGUUGCUGUUAGUGAUGAUUGUGUUGUGGUAGGUUCUGAUGUUAAAAGAAGUGACGAAUCAGAGAAGAGGGUUUUUCUGAGAAUUGAAUUAGGAUGCGAAUUGGUGAUGAUAUAGUGUUGUUGGAGGAAGAAUAAUAACUGGGUUGUGAUUCAAUUGAAGAUGUGUAGAUGUUUUUGAGGAUGAAUCAAGUAAGUUAGGGUUUCUGGAUUUGAAAUUAGAUUUGUAUAGAACUGAUGGUGAUGAUUUCGAGUUCAUAAUGGAUGACAAUCGAAUGGGUUGAUGUUGUAUUAAUGAUAAGAAGUUGUUCUGAAGACGAAUUGAUGAAUCAAAGAGCUGGGGUUUCUGUGAAUUCAUUGGAGUUCGAUUUAAGUGAUGAUUAGGAAGAAUUAUUGGAUGGGUCUGGUCGAUUUGAGGACUUGAAUUAAUGGUUUGAUCAGAAGUGAGGGUUUGAGGAUUAUUCGGGGUUUUCACAAUUGAUGUUUUUGCAUCUGAUCAGAAAAGAAAGGAGGAAACAACUUCAGUGAUGAUUUUAAUUGAAGACCCAGGGUUCAUGGAUUGAAUUUCAAGUGAAGAAGAUUCCUAAGAUGUGUAUGAGAGAACAUGAAAGAUUGGGACUGAUAGUGAUUCAUUUGAAUUGUAUAUACUGGUUUUAUGGUGUAGUGAAGUCUGGUGGUGUAGAUAUGUGGCAAGUUGGAAGAAUAGUUGAUAAUGAUGCUGCUAUAGCGGAGUUUCAAUGGUUGUGUUUUGAAAGAAGUUUGGAUGUUUGUCGUUGCAGCUGUGAAGAUUGUGAUUAUGAAGUUAUGGUAAUUGAGAUUGGUAAUAGUGACUGUUGGGGUGAAUUGCAGGGAGAUGGAAUUAGAUGAAUGAAUGUGAGGAAGAUGUUGUUGAAGUUAACUGUGGUGGUGCUGUAAGGUGCAAGAGUAUGUGUAGAUGAAUAGUGUUCUAUAUUAGUGUUUUUGUAUGGAGUUGCAGCUCAUGGAAUUGGUGGAGGAAUGUUAUCUGAGUAGCUGGUGGAGGUUUAAAUUCUGUCUUUUUAAAUUCUGUCUUGUUGUCGGAUUUAAGUUUUUCUUUUUCAAUUGAUAUGUCUGGUUCACAAUCUAGGGAUAAUCUCAUAUUGGUUGACACCAAUAUCUCAAAUCAGUUGGAAGAGAUAAGGGUAACCAACAUCAUAGAGUAUCAUGUGUAAUCUUUCUCCUAUCAAUCUAACAGGGGGUUAGUCGUGGGAGA